GAUGAACGCUGGCGGCGUGCCUAAUACAUGCAAGUCGAGCGAACGGACGAGAAGCUUGCUUCUCUGAUGUUAGCGGCGGACGGGUGAGUAACACGUGGAUAACCUACCUAUAAGACUGGGAUAACUUCGGGAAACCGGAGCUAAUACCGGAUAAUAUUUUGAACCGCAUGGUUCAAAAGUGAAAGACGGUCUUGCUGUCACUUAUAGAUGGAUCCGCGCUGCAUUAGCUAGUUGGUAAGGUAACGGCUUACCAAGGCAACGAUGCAUAGCCGACCUGAGAGGGUGAUCGGCCACACUGGAACUGACACACGGUCCAGACUCCUACGGGAGGCAGCAGUAGGGAAUCUUCCGCAAUGGGCGAAAGCCUGACGGAGCAACGCCGCGUGAGUGAUGAAGGUCUUCGGAUCGUAAAACUCUGUUAUUAGGGAAGAACAUAUGUGUAAGUAACUGUGCACAUCUUGACGGUACCUAAUCAGAAAGCCACGGCUAACUACGUG
rnacentral:rRNA from 1 species